rnacentral:rRNA from 1 species
UACGAAGGGGGCUAGCGUUGUUCGGAAUCACUGGGCGUAAAGCGAGUGUAGGCGGUUCGCUAAGUCGGGUGUGAAAGCCCUGGGCUCAACCCAGGAAGUGCACUCGAAACUGGCAGGCUAGAGUACUGGAGAGGUUGGUGGAAUUCUCGGUGUAGAGGUGAAAUUCGUAGAUAUCGAGAGGAACACCGGUGGCGAAGGCGGCCAACUGGACAGAUACUGACGCUGAGACUCGAAAGCGUGGGGAGCAAACAGG